CUAGAUUCUUGACAUUUGCUAGUUUUUUUCAUGUAUGAAUUCUCUCAUGCUUUCUAAGGUUUGAACAUUGACUAAAGGAUUUCCCACAUUCAUUACAUUUGUAUGGUUUCUCUCCUGUAUGGAUUCUCUGGUGUUGAAUAAGAUUUGUGCAGUGGAUAAAAGCUUUGCCACAUUCAUUACAUUUGUAGGAUUUCUUGGAAUGCUGAAUUUUACGCCUAGUAACGUUUAAAGUUUUAUUAAACAUUGUGUCACAAUCUAUACUCUUGUAAUGAUUAUCUUGAAUAUAGUUACACUGCUGGAUAGUAAGCUUUGAACAUUGAGUAAAGAAAUUAUCACAAUUGAAAAGCUUCUUUGGAAGAUUACAUUGAUGGUUGUUGGGACUCAAGCAAUGGUCAAAGUCAUUCUGUACUUUGUCACGCUGACCAGAUUUCUCUAAGAUAACCACAUCAUUGCAACUAUUUAGUAAAGAUCCACUACUAAAACCUUUGCUAAUUUCCUUAUACAUGUAAGGGGUUUCCCAAAUAUCUGUAUCUAGAUUUUGGCUAUGCAAUAAUGGAUCAGUAGCAGGCAAUCCACAAUCAUUAGUAUUGUGCUUUUGGCCACAGGAGACUGGUAUUUGCUGACUGAAGAGUAUGGCUCUUCCAGGAUAGGAAGACUCGACUUGAUCACUUUUAGAGAUCGGUCCUCUGUUUCUUAAUUCUUUGUCUAUGAAAUUGCUUGAGUGAAAAAUUAAUCUAUCUAUCAGAUCUUCCCAACUUUCUUUCAAAGUUAAGUCAUGUUGAAAAAUUUCCUGUGGAUAUUUACAGUUAUAGACACAUGGCUCAUCAAAAGUAUCUGUCCUUGCAUGAGGUUUUUUCAGAGCUGUUUUCUGUUCUUGAUUUCUGUUGUCUUUGGUAUUGCUUGUGAUCAGACAUUGCUUAUGUCUACCAUGGCAGGCUGCUGCUUUAUUCCCACCUACAUUUGCACAAUCUUCCCUUAAGUAUAAAUGCUGAAGGCUAUAACUUCCAUUAGUCACUUCUGUGAAGGAAUAUUUCAGGAUCUGCUCUGGUGAAAAGUUCUGGGUACAAUGAUGAGAAAGAGCUGAAAUAAAUAAAAACAAACAAAUUAAUUUAAUAGAUACUAGUUAUUGCAGUUGGUAAAUACAUGUGAAGUUAUACCAGGAUGGAACAUCUGGAGUUCCAUAUCUGAAACAUCUGGAGAAAUCACAGUAGCAAAGGUUGAAAGUUAACCAACAAACAAACAAACAAAACAAAAAGACAACAAAAAACCCCAAACCAAACCAAACUGAAACAAACAAACAAAAAUGAUAAAAAAAAACCCCAAAAACCUAAAACAACAAAACACCUUAAAAUUAAACUUGUACACCCUCCCAUAACCAGGUAAGGAAUCACGGCCCCCCAAGUAAGCACAAGGCCAAGCAGGCUCACUGUAGGAGGAAGUGAAGUUUGUUACUUUUGUCAAGCACAGCUCUUCUU
rnacentral:lncRNA from 1 species